ACUUGUUGGAGCGAAGUUGAAAACUAGCAUCAUUUAGGACCAGACUUCUUCCAGAAGACUAUUAAGAAGGUCACAAUCAUCUGUAGGAAUUUGGUUACCACCCAGAGUAACCAAAAGAGUUGCGUUGAUAAUCGUAUGAGACCCGUGAAAUUUGUUGUUGGAGACCAAGUCUUCCUUAAGGUUUUUCCCUAUAAGGAAAAAAUAUGGUU
rnacentral:lncRNA from 1 species